UACGUAGGGGGCAAGCGUUGUCCGGAUUCAUUGGGCGUAAAGAGCGUGUAGGCGGCCAGGUAGGUCGGUUGUGAAAACUCGAGGCUCAACCUCGAGACGCCGAUGGAAACCAUCUAACUAGAGUCCGGAAGAGGAGAGUGGAAUUCCUGGUGUAGCGGUGAAAUGCGCAGAUAUCAGGAAGAACACCCGUGGCUAAGGCGGCUCUCUAGUACGGUACUGACGCUGAGACGCGAAAGCGUGGGGAGCGAACAGG
rnacentral:rRNA from 1 species